rnacentral:tRNA from 1 species
UGCCCUCCGAAGGCAGAGGUCACAGGUUCGAAUCCUGUCGGGUGCACCA